GAUGAACGCUGGCGGCAGGCUUAACACAUGCAAGUCGAGCGGCAGCAUGGUCUUAGCUUGCUAAGGCCGAUGGCGACCGGCGCACGGGUGAGUAACACGUAUCCAACCUGCCGUCUACUCUUGGCCAGCCUUCUGCAAGGCAGAUUAAUACAAAAUGGCAUCAUGAGUUCACAUGUUCACAUGAUUAAAUUUAUUCCUGUCGACGAUGGGGAUGCGUCCCAUUUGAUAGUAGGUGGGGGAACGGCCUACCAAGGCGACGCGGCGUAGCGGAGCUGAGAGGGGGACCGGCAGAACGGGAACUGAGACACGGUCCAGACUCCUACGGGAGGAAGCAGUAGGGAAUCUUCCGCAAUGGGCGAAAGCCUGACGGAGCAACGCCGCGUGAGUGAUGAAGGUCUUCGGAUCGUAAAGCUCUGUUAUUAGGGAAGAAGAAAUGUGUAAGUAACUAUGCACGUCUUGACGGUACCUAAUCAGAAAGCCACGGCUAACUACGUG
rnacentral:rRNA from 1 species